GGAUAAGGAAAGUAAAGAAGGGCGCAUGGCGGAUGCCUUGGCUCUCGGAGGCGAUGAAGGACGUGAUAAGCUGCGAUAAGCUCUGGGUAGGUGCAAAUAACCUUUGAUCCAGAGAUUUCCGAAUGGGACAACCCGGCAUUCUGAAGGAAUGUCAUCCAUCUUUGAUGGAAGCUAACGCAGGGAACUGAAACAUCUUAGUACCUGCAGGAAAAGAAAAUAAACAAUGAUUCCCCCAGUAGUGGCGAGCGAACGGGGAACAGCCCAAACCAUCCAUGUUACGGCAUGGGUGGGGUUGUAGGACUACGCCGUUG
rnacentral:rRNA from 1 species